CCUACGGGAGGCAGCAGUGGGGAAUAUUGCGCAAUGGGCGAAAGCCUGACGCAGCGACGCCGCGUGAGGGAUGAAGGUCUUCGGAUCGUAAACCUCUGUCAGCAGGGCAGAACGGUCACGGUGCUAAUCAGCAGUGAAUUGACGGUACCUGCAAAGGAAGCACCGGCUAACUCCGUGCCAGCAGCCGCGGUAAUACGGAGGGUGCGAGCGUUAAUCGGAAUUACUGGGCGUAAAGCGCUCGUAGGCGGUAUGUCAAGUCAAGGGUGAAAUCCCCGCGCUAAACGUGGGAACUGCCUGUGAAACUGGCAAACUGGAGUGUGUGAGAGGAUAGUGGAAUUCCAGGUGUAGGAGUGAUAUCCGUAGAUAUCUGGAGGAACAUCAGUGGCGAAGGUGACUGUCUGGCACAUAACUGACGCUGAGGAGCGAAAGCGCGGGUAGCAAACAGGAUUAGAUACCCUAGUAGUC
rnacentral:rRNA from 1 species